AGUCAUAAAACACACAGAGUCAGAUUAGCUAUUAAUUUCUAGAUCUUGGUAAGGAUACCGGAUUUUAUUCUGAGACAGAAUUGUUGAUAAGAUUUGAGUGGAGAUACACUGGAUUCCAUAUGCAAAAGUGAGACUGUAGAAAGGCAAGAAUGCUUGUGAAGAGGGCAGAUAAAAAGAUAUAAUCCAGAGGAGAGAUGCUUCCUGGAACUAAAAGUGAUUGCAGAGAAAGACAUCUCCCUGAUACUACAACACCUUCAGCCUAGAGAAACUUCACAGAAGCAAGAUAAGACUCCACAGAAGAAGCUUUGUGUACUUCUUGGCCAUCACACUACCAUAAAGUAGAGGAGAAAUCAGUUUCUGUCCUACUCUCCCACCUCACUUGCCAAAUAUCUUAAGAGUGAAUUUAUCCAAACCUAAUUUUUUGAUUAUCUUAAUUACUCCCAGAAGAUCAAGCUCUCAAUCAUUUUUGUCCAGAGUCUCAUUACUCUGCUGUUUCAUAUUGUUUAAUCUGACCCAGUUUCCCAACUUCCUUUGCCCUACACUACAUUCUAGAAUUAAUGGUUUAUUUUCUAACAAUAAAAUGUUUUUAUUUUUAAAUUCUUAUAUCCUUCAUGAUUCCUCUGUGUGUUUCUAGUGGAGACUCAAGAUCUGAUGAUUUAUUUAUCCUGUAACACUCUCAACUGGAGAAUAUUUUUUUUCUCUCUUUGAAUCAUAUACUCCAGAGCUUGCAGGUGAGAUUUAAGAUGCAGCCAAAAUAUAUAAUUUUGCCAGUAGAAGAAAGCUGUACCAGGAAACAAGUGGCUACCUCUACACAGAACUAGUUCUUCUCUGGCACCAUCCAAUUCUAGAUAUUAAGCCUGAGUGACCUGUGCAUAUGCUACACCAGGGGUCCUCAACCUAGGGACAACAGACACAUACCAGUCCUUGGCCUGUCAGGAACUGGGCCGCACAGCAGGAGGCGAGGGCGGGCAAGCGAGUAUUACUGCCUGAGCUCCAGCUCUUGUCAGACCUUCGUCGCAUUAGAUUCUCAUAGGUGCGUCAACCCUAUGUGAACUGGACAUGUGAGGGAUCUAGGUUGCGCACCCCUUAUGAUAAUCUAACUAAUGCCUGGUGAUCUUGUUACCGAUGGAGGGUGUCCAGGUUCUCGGCAUCUUGAACAAAGAACUGGACAAAAUGCACAAAGAAAGAAAGGAAAUAAUGAAGCAACAAAAAUAGAUAUUUAUUGAAAAUGAAAGUAUAUUCCACAGGGUGGGAGUGGGCCCGAGUAUAUGGGCUCAAGAUCCCCUUUACCAUAUUUGUGGGGGUUUAAAUACCCUCUAGAGGUUUCCAUUAGUUAAUUGGUGUACGCCCUCUGGAGAGGACAUUUCCUGUGAUAGCUGACGUGUGAGUUGGCCUUCUGUUUCUUGCCUCCAGACCCUGUUUUCCUGCCUCAGUCUGAGGAGGAAGUUUCAUUCCAAAACAUUGCCCCCAGACUCGUGAAAAAAUUGUCUUCCAGGAAGCCUGUCCAUGAUGCCAAAAUGGUUGGGGACCGUUGUUGUACACCAUCCUCGAUGAUAAGGACCCUCUUAGCACCUCUGGUUUUCUUUCAUCCCAGCGGGCUAAUUGUCUUUUAAAUAUCCAAAGAAAAUAG
rnacentral:lncRNA from 1 species